GUCCAUGUAGCACAGUGGAUAGCGUGUUGGACUUCUAAUCCAAAGGUAGUGGGUUCGAAUCCCACCUGGGAUG
rnacentral:tRNA from 1 species